rnacentral:rRNA from 1 species
AUUGAACGCUGGCGGCAGGCUUAACACAUGCAAGUCGAGCGGGGGUAGGUAGCUUGCUACCGGACCUAGCGGCGGACGGGUGAGUAAUGCUAGGAAUCUGCCUAUUAGUGGGGGACAACAUCUCGAAAGGGAUGCUAAUACCGCAUACGUCCUACGGGAGAAAGCAGGGGAUCUUCGGACCUUGCGCUAAUAGAUGAGCCUAAGUCGGAUUAGCUAGUUGGUGGGGUAAAGGCCUACCAAGGCGACGAUCUGUAGCGGGUCUGAGAGGAUGAUCCGCCAAACUGGGACUGAGACACGGCCCAGACUCCUACGGGAGGCAGCAGUGGGGAAUAUUGGACAAUGGGGGGAACCCUGAUCCAGCCAUGCCGCGUGUGUGAAGAAGGCCUUAUGGUUGUAAAGCACUUUAAGCGAGGAGGAGGCUACUUUAGUUAAUACCUAGAGAUAGUGGACGUUACUCGCAGAAUAAGCACCGGCUAACUCUGUGCCAGCCGCCGCCGUAA